ensembl:lncRNA
UUACCAGUUCUCAAUUUUAUUUAGGAUUCAAAUUAACACCAACCAAACGUAUCACUAAAUCACUUAUUUUCACGUUUUCAAAGUUGGAUUGCGCUGCAAAUCCAUACAUUUGUGCUCACUACACAUUAUUUUUUUAUUGCAUUCAUUGAGAGGCUCCAAAGCAUCAGUCCAAUAAACAUUUUUCCAGUCCGAUAACCAUCCUUCAUAAGAACUAAGAGGUAAAAUUAUUCACACAGCUCUUUUUUCCCUUUGAUCCUUAGCUCAUAAGCUUUUGAGCAAACGCCAAUGUUUUUGCCAGUUCGUGUUGUCUGUGCCUUAUCACAGGUCACAUGUCUACAGAACACGGUAUUCAAUGACUUUGCUUCCUUGGUCCCAAGCAAAGGUUUUGACAGAUUCCAUAGUUUGGUAAAAUGAGUGAGUCUGCAACUGUGGAAGGCAUUUUGUUUUUAGCAAUGAAUCGCAUUACAUUGUACCUAACUUCUCAAGCACAAUCUGAUAUUAGGAUGAUGAAGAUAAUUCUUAAAAACUCUUUAUACCAGAUUAUUUUUAAAAAUCCACAUACUUUUCUACUUAACAUAGAUGUUGUAGGGUGAAGAGCCUGUGAGGCUUGUUUGGCACUCCUGCUUCAUUUAUUAAUUUCUCCAUGCAAACAAGACAUUUAGGCUGAGAAAGAGAAGCAGCAAAAAUCCAGAUGAGCUGCACACAGUGGUUCAUGCCUGUAAUCCCAGAAUUUAGGGAGGCAGAGGUGGGAGGAGGGAGGAGUGCUUGAGCCUAGGGGUUCAAGACUAGCCUGGGCAACAUAGCAAGACUGUUCUCCACAAAAAGGGAGAAAAAGAAAUCCAUAUGAACCCAAAUUUGAGGCAGGUGCUAUAUUGCCUAAUUAGUGGCCAUUUGGGUUUUUUGACCAGUGGUUUUGUGAGUUUGAUGAUAUUCUGGACUUAGUAAAAAUGUGAGAAAGUAAAUAACUGUAAAAAUUAAAUGGAUUCCUGGACAGUGGGAAAAACGGGGCAAUCUCAAUAGGCCUGUGGUUUAGUUAACAGCAAUGCAACAAUGUUAAUUUCUUUGUUUUGAUGUUGACAUGGGGGAAGGUGAGGGUCCAUCAAACCCUGUACCAUCUCUGCAACUCUUCUGCAAAUCAAAAAUUACUUCAAAAUAAAAAGCUACACAACCAAAUUAUUAAAUAUAAACUACUCAAGGAUACUGCAAAGGCUUUAUGGGCUCAGAAAGUGGAUAAGAAAAAUAUGAAGGCCUCAGAAAUCUUCAAAAUUUUUUAAAACAAAUUCCACUGAAAAACUCAAAAAAUGAAGUACGCGGCUUACAAAAAUAGAAAAAAUGAAAAUACUUUAAUUCAUUAAAACUCUGAAAAAAUUCAAGUACAAAUGACUUGCUCUCAUAAGUUCUUUUGUUUAAACUGAUUUUCUGAAGCCCCAAAGGCAUAUAAUCUGCUUUAAUGAAUUCAUUUAAAUAAACUAUUUUAAAUUAGGUUCAAUUGUUGUUUUGAAAAUAAAUGUUAAACAUUUAUUCAGCACAAAGUGGUCUAUUAAAAAAAAUUUUAAAAUAGGCUAGGCGCAGUGGCUCACCCCUGUAAUCCCUGCACUUUGGGAGGCUGAGGUGGGUGGAUCACAAGGUCAGGAGUUCAAGACAAGCCUGACCAACAUGGUGAAACUCCGCCUCUACUAAAAAUACCAAAAAAAUAUUUAGCUGGGCACGGUGGCGUGUGCCUGUAAUCCCAGCUACUCAGGAGGCUGAGGCAGGAGAAUCGCUUGAACCUGGGAGGCGGAGGUUGCAGUGAGCCGAGAUCCGGCCACUGGCCUGGGCGACUCCGUCUCAAAAAAAAAAAAAAAAAAAAAAAA